rnacentral:lncRNA from 1 species
AUUUUUCUUGUUAGAGGAAGAAUGAUGCCUUCUAAGCUGUUUAUAUUUUGUAUAAGAAAGUGGAAGUCCUAGCCUUUUUAUUUUUAACCAUUCAUAGCCAAAGCUGAAAUAGAGAUUGAAAGAUGUUGGUGGAGAAGCAUUUUACCCAUUACUUGAAGAUGACCAGUCUAAUUUACCUCAUUCAAACAGCAAUAAUGAGUUGUCUGCAGCUGCCACGCUCCCUUUAAUCAUCAGAGAGAAGGAUACAGAGUACCAACUAAAUAGAAUUAUUCUCUUCGACAGGCUGCUAAAGGCUUAUCCAUAUAAAAAAAACCAAAUCUGGAAAGAAGCAAGAGUUGACAUUCCUCCUCUUAUGAGAGGUUUAACCUGGGCUGCUCUUCUGGGAGUUGAGGGAGCUAUUCAUGCCAAGUACGAUGCAAUUGAUAAAGACACUCCAAUUCCUACAGAUAGACAAAUUGAAGUGGAUAUUCCUCGCUGUCAUCAGUACGAUGAACUGUUAUCAUCACCAGAAGGUCAUGCAA